rnacentral:lncRNA from 10 species
AGAAGUUCCACUUCGGUGGCUCCGUUGGGGUAGCUCCCAACAGGCAGGACCUGGGCUCCCGGUGGGGGAAUCCUCACGUCUCACCCUCCGAGAGCCUGACAUCCCCCCCUGCCCCUUUCCAUUCCUCAGCAUGUGACACAUCUGGGCUCUCAGGCUGGACACCGGGUCACCCGCCAGUCCUUUGCUCCCAGACUGUAAACUUUGUUAGGGAGAAUCCUUCUCUGGGCUGGUGUCUAAGAGAUGGCUGGUUGGGGGUGUCCCCUGGGCCUGUGAGAGAUCACAAAGCUGCCAAUUUUACUGGGCCUUUUUUUUCCCUCCAAUCUUAAAAUAAUUUUGGUUAGGUCUGGGCACGGUGGCCUAUGCUUUCAAUCCCAGCAGCCCAAGGCGGGAGAUUGCUUGAGCCCAAGCAUUCAAGACUAGCCUGGGAAACAUAGCAAGAUCCCGUCUCUACAAAAACAUUUAAAAUGAGCCAAGUGGCAGGGUGCGGUGGCUCAUGCCUGUAAUCCCAGCACUUUGGGAUGCCAAGGCAGGCGAUUGCCUGAGCUCAAGAGUUCGAGACCAGCCUGGGCAACAUGGUGAAACCCCAUCUCUACUAAAAUAAAAAGUUAGCCAGGCAUGCUGGUGCAUGUCUGUAAUCCCAGCUACUGGGGAGGCUGAGGCAGUAGAAUUGCUUAAAUCCGGGAGGUGGAGGUUACAGUGAGCUGAGGUCGCGCCACUGCACUUCAGCCUGGGCAACAGAGCAAGAUUCUGUCUCCAAAAAAAAAAAAAAAAAAAAAAGAGCCAAGCAUGGAGGCAGGCACCUGUUGUCCCAGCUAUUAGGGAGGCUGAGGUGGGAGGAUCACUUGAGCUCACGAGGUCAAGGCUGCAGUGAGUCAUCGCAGCACAGCACUCCAGCCUGGGUGACAGAUCAAGACACUGUCACUAAGGAAAUAGGUCGGGCACGGUGGCUAACGCCUGUCAUCCCAGCACCUUGGGAGGCUGAGGCGGGCGGAUCACCUGAGGUCAGGAGUUCGAGACCAGUCUGGCCAACAUGGUGAAACCCUGUCUCUACUAAAAAUACAAAAAUUAGCCAGGCCUGGUGGUGGGCGCCUGUAAUCCCAGCUACUCGGGAGGCUGAGGCAGGAGAAUCGCUAGAACCCAGGAGGCGGAGGCUGCAGUGAGCCGAGAUUGCACCACUGCACUCCAGCCUGGGCAACAGAGCGAGACUGUCUUAAAAAAAAAGAAAUAAUAAUUUAGGGAAGGAGAGUCCCAGGAGAGGUGGUUGCAGCCAUGAAGUAAAAUGAGGUGUCUGGGGGCCGACUGCCCUAUUUCAGGUGGCUGCAGUGGCCUGGGGUGCAGGCUGGGGCCGGGGGUCAGGGACAGUGUGGGUCUCCCACAUGACUGGGGGGGGGCUGGGAGUCAAGUGGGGUUUGAAGGUGUCACCCAUCCCACUUCCCAGGCCAGAGCAGAGUCCCUGUGCUCACCUCCCACGGGUCGUGAGAAUGAAGUGUGAUCACAGAAACCAGGGCAGUGCUGGCCCCGGGCCAGAGGGAACCCACAGAGGUAACCCUGGUAACCAAACAGCCCCUGGAAGAGUUGGGGGAGCUUUCAUCGGUGACCCGGGGCCGCCACCUAUGGGGCACGGAUGGGGUUGCGGCAGUGGGUGCCCCUCCCCAGGCCCUGGGAGCCUCUAGCUGUCCUCACGACAUGAUCCUGAAACAUAGAUCCAAACAAAACAUCGAUAGUCUUCCCACACCAGGAAGGAGCUGUGUCCUGAUGAGGCCUCAGCUGCUUCUCAGAGUCAAAGCUUGGGGUUCGGGGGCCACCAGCAGCACCGCGUACCUGGGGUCUGGUCUAGCUGUCUGCCCCAUCCCUGGCAGCCUCCCUGUCCCUGCCCGAGUCCAUCCCUGUGGGGCUCCCAGCUCUCAUCUCCUCAGGCCACCUCAUCUCACCCUAUUCGCUCCCCGACCUGUGUGUUUCUUUCCCCUGGCUUCUUCGUAUUAAGCGAUCCAGAAUCGUUCUUGGCUAAUUCUAUUCUGCACCCAGCUCAUAAACAACUUGGAAAAAGCAGAGGAGAAGAUGUCAGAUUUUCUUUUUAAAUACUCCCCUGCAUGGUGACUAAUCCAGCAGGCAUUUAUGAGUUUCGAUGUGGA